UACGGAGGGUGCGAGCGUUGUCCGGAAUCAUUGGGCGUAAAGGGCGCGUAGGUGGCGGGACAAGCGUGCGGUGAAAGCCUGGGGCUCAACCCCGGGUCGGCCGUGCGAACUGUUUUGCUUGAGCACUGUAGAGGCAGGCGGAAUUCCGGGUGUAGCGGUGGAAUGCGUAGAGAUCCGGAAGAACACCGGUGGCGAAGGCGGCCUGCUGGGCAGUUGCUGACACUGAGGCGCGACAGCGUGGGGAGCAAACAGG
rnacentral:rRNA from 1 species